GCCCCGGUGCCCGGGCGGGCGGGCAGAGCGGCGGGAGCGCUGCCAGCAGAGCCCAGCCGGCUGCCAGGCUCCGCUCCCCGCCCUUCUUCCCCUGGGCUGUGCCAGGCCGUGCCGAGGAGCCCGCCGUGCCACCAGCCCCCCGAGAGGCCGCCCUCGGUGCCACCAGGCUGAACGGAGCCCCGAGCGAGGGCACGGAGGCGCCCCACCAGGGAACCCUCGAGGGAACCCGUGCCAAGCUGGGCCAGGACGCCGAGCUCGCGGGGACGCCUGAGGGACACGAUGUGGCCGCCCCAAAGGGCAGGCAAGUGACGCUCCUCGACAGGAUCUUCAGGCUGGAGAAGGGCAAGGGAAGGACACAGAGUGACCCCCAGGAGGGAAGGCAGAGCUUGGAUGAUCCCGAUGGGAGCAUCGCGGCCGGCGCGCCCAACGGGGUCCUGCUGGGAAAGGAGCUAGAUGAGUGCAGGCAAAAGGAGCUCGGGCAGGACUCUGCAGGUGACCGGAGCCCGGCUGCUGCAGCAGCUGGCAGGGCACAGGUGGAGCAGGGCAGUGCCCAGGCAGCUGCAGGACAGGGCUCAGUCAUGAGCUUCCUCAGAACACUGGUCUCCUCAAGCAAAGCUGAAGCCAAAAGUGAUUCUGAAGAUAAGGGCUCCAGGGCGGAGAAGGGCCCUGGGGGACAGCCUGGCCCGAAGGCAGCCGCAGGAUCCCCCUCCAAAGGAGCCAAGAAAAAGAAGGCAGAGAGCCCCAAAAAGCUGGGCCACAGCACCUUUAGCAAACUCUUUAGGCACAAGGCUGAGAAAGAAACCCAGCAGACAGCCAACACCAAAGUGAGUAGGAGGGGUUGAAUUAUCUGUGCAACGCAGGAAAAGGGAAAUUCUCGCUGGCAUGUUCAGUCUUUAGGUGUUUUCGUUUCUUUAUCUGUGUUCUGGGUUUG
rnacentral:lncRNA from 1 species